GUCAGCCGCCGCGGUAACACCGGCGGCCCGAGUGGUGAUCGUGAUUAUUGGGUCUAAAGGGUCCGUAGCCGGUUUGGUCAGUCCUCCGGGAAAUCUGAUAGCUCAACUAUUAGGCUUUCGGGGGAUACUGCCAGACUUGGAACCGGGAGAGGUAAGAGGUACUACAGGGGUGGGAGUGAAGUCUUGUAAUCCCUGUGGGACCACCUGUGGCGAAGGCGUCUUACCAGAACGGGUUCGACGGUGAGGGACGAAAGCUGGGGGCACGAACCGGAUUAGAUACCCGGGUAGUCCCAGCCGUAAACGAUGCUCGCUAGGUGUCAGGCAUGGCGCGACCGUGUCUGGUGCCGCAGGGAAGCCGUGAAGCGAGCCACCUGGGAAGUACGGCCGCAAGGCUGAAACUUAAAGGAAUUGGCGGGGGAGCACAACAACGGGGUGGAGCCUGCGGUUUAAUUGGACUCAACGCCGGACAACUCACCGGGGGCGACAGCAAUAUGUAGGCCAAGCUGAAGACUUUGCCUGAAUCGCUGAGAAGAGGUGCAUGG
rnacentral:rRNA from 1 species